AGAGUUUUAAGUUAAAUAAAACUAUAAGUUUUCAAGACUUAUAAUAAAUAAAUGUUGUUUAAAUUCUG
rnacentral:tRNA from 1 species